rnacentral:rRNA from 1 species
CUACGGGAUGCAGCAGUGGGGAAUAUUGGACAAUGGAGGCAACUCUGAUCCAGCCAUGCCGCGUGAGUGAUGAAGGCCUUAGGGUUGUAAAGCUCUUUCGCCGGUGAAGAUGAUGACUGUAGCCGGUAAAGAAGCCCCGGCUAACUUCGUGCCAGCAGCCGCGGUAAUACGAAGGGGGCUAGCGUUGUUCGGAAUUACUGGGCGUAAAGCGCGCGUAGGCGGCUUGAUCAGUCAGAGGUGAAAUCCCAGGGCUCAACCCUGGAACUGCCUUUGAUACUGUCAAGCUAGAGCUCGGAAGAGGGUGGCGGAAUAUCCAGUGUAGAGGUGAAAUUCGUAGAUAUUGGAUAGAACACCAGUGGCGAAGGCGGCCACCUGGUCCGUAGCUGACGCUGAGGUGCGAAAGCGUGGGGAGCAAACAGGAUUAGAUACCCGAGUAGUC